GUGGGGAAUUUUGGACAAUGGGCGAAAGCCUGAUCCAGCAAUGCCGCGUGUGUGAAGAAGGCCUUCGGGUUGUAAAGCACUUUUGGCAGGGAAGAAACAGUGCGUGCUAAUACCAUGCGCGAAUGACGGUACCUGCAGAAUAAGCACCGGCUAACUACGUGCCAGCAGCCGCGGUAAUACGUAGGGUGCAAGCGUUAAUCGGGAUUACUGGUCGUAAAGCGUGCGCAGGCGGCUUUGUAAGACGGAUGUGAAAGCCCCGGGCUCAACCUGGGAAGUGCAUUUGUUACUGCAAGGCUAGAGUGUGUCAGAGGGAGGUGGAAUUCCGCGUGGAGCAGUGAAAUGCGUAGAGAUGCGGAGGAACACCGAUGGCGAAGGCAGCCUCCUGGGAUAACACUGACGCUCAGGCACGAAAGCGUGGGGAGCAAACAGGAUUAGAAACCCGGGUAGUCC
rnacentral:rRNA from 1 species